ACUGUCAACAAGCCAGUGCAUUGUUAUUCAACAUCGUAAUCAUUAGGGAGAUGUAAAUCACUGGCACAAUGAGGUCCCCUCUCGCGCGCACACACAGUAGAAUCGCUGUUGCUGAAGAAGCCUCAAGCCCUGGCAGGGAUGCAGAGAGACUGGACCCGCGUGCCUCGCUGUAGGAGAUAAGAAGAGAACACAGCCGCUGUGCACAGUGGCAUGGCAGCCUCCCCGGGGGGUUGAAAAUAGAACGCUCAUACGAUCCAGCCACUCCACUCCGGAGUAGAGAGCCAGGACUGGAAGCAAAGAGUCAAAAAGCAGUUGUUCCUCCAUUGACACGCCACUUCGUUCUACACUGUUGGCAUCUGAGGUUGGCUUGAAACAGGACAAGUGCCAGCUGAGAGCCAGAGAGGUCACCGGAGGAGUGGAGAUUCUGGAGCCCCUGAGGUCUCUUCAGUGACCCACCAUGCCGGAAAUACAAUCACUGCACCAUCAGGAAUUCAGUCAGGAGCUCUCAUGCUUCAUAAAAGAUGCUGGUGCUGUGUGUGCAAAUGAGUGCCUCAGAAGAAUCUUCAAUAUGUUACAGACCUUCUGCCACUGACCUCCGCAGCAGCCCUGUGACGCUCACUGGAGAACCUCUGAACCCCUGCCAGGCACCUGGGAAGAGAAGAGUUGAUGAAAAUUAUCUCUAGAGAAACUGUCAGAGGAGCUGCUUUUUCUGUGGUUGAGUGUGGAUUUAGCAUGUUUUGUGAGGUCUUGAGUUGAGUCCCUGUAGAUGAAUUUUUAAACAGUCUUAUUAAACAAGAAACAUAGAACCAAAUACAGGGGUGUGAGCCGUAGAGAUCAGUGUAGCAGGAAUCUUAAAAGUUCUUAUUAAUAAAAAUCAAA